rnacentral:tRNA from 1 species
GCGCCUGUAGCUCAGAUGGAUAGAGCGUCGGACUUCGAAUCCGCAGGUCGCAGGUUCGACCCCUGCCAGGCGCACCA